UCUAAAAGGUUCUUGAAUGGGGCGAACACUUUUUUAUGACUGAAAGCGUUAAGCCCGCCUCGUCACUAAUGUUAAUAAAUUCCUGUCGGAGAAUACCGCAAAAUGAUAUUUCAGUUCGCUCAACGCGGACCUAUUUGACGAGGCGGUGUCUCGGUUAACAAUGUCCCCUAAAAAUGUCCAUAUUUCAAUCGCCGUAGAGCAAAUGACGAGGUUUCUCUUGAAGCAAGCAAAGCGACCGCCUAAGCAUGCUUUCGAGGCAACUUAAGAUAGGAAAAAAACUCAAGAGUUCAGUGAUCAAACACCAACAGAGCCUCGUGAUAAGUUGCCUGUAAAGAGGAGCAUGAACCCAUCAGAUGCCUCCGAAGAUAUUGACCUGACGAACAAUGCUGCAAAGCAAAAUCUCAGUAAGCAAAGUGCUCAAACACCUACAGAGCCUCGUGACAAGUUGCUUGUACACAGAAGAGCCUGAUCCCAUCAGAUGCCUCCGAAGAGAUUGAAAAGAACUGUUUACGGACAUUUUCAGAACUGUUUUAGAACAUUUGUUCCAGACUUAUUUGAAGCAACCCUUCGAAACUGUUCUAAACAUUUCUAGAAUUGUACUGGAACACACCGGCUAGAACUGUUCUGUAAUCAUACUGAAAAUGUUCUAGAAUUAUUCUGGAACAGUUGUUGAACGUUAAAUGAGAAAAAAAUUCUAGAACAAUUCUAUAACAGUUCUGGAAAUUUAUUCAAGAAAAAUUCUGGAAUAGUUCUAGAACGAUAGUUCAAGAAUUGUUCUAGAACAGUUGUUGAACGUUAAAUGAGAAAAAUUUCUAGAACAAUUCUAUAACAGUUCUGGAAAUUUAUUCAAGAAAAAUUCUGGAAUAGUUCUAGAACGCUAGUUCAAGAAUUGUUCUAGAACAAACCUUCAGAACUGUUUCAGAACAAAUUGUUCUAGAAAUUAUUCUCAUUUAACGUUCAACAACUGUUCUAAAUCGUUCUAGAGCAUUUUAAGGAUGAUUCCAGAACACUUCUAGUCAUUAGUUCCAGUACAAUUCUAGAAAUGUUAUAGAACAGUUCUAACAAUCUUCGC